rnacentral:piRNA from 1 species
UAGUGAACCGAGUUGGCUGAC